rnacentral:rRNA from 1 species
GACGAACGCUGGCGGCGUGCUUAACACAUGCAAGUCGAACGGAAAGGCCCUGCUUGCCGGGUACUCGAGUGGCGAACGGGUGAGUAACACGUGGGUGAUCUGCCCUGCACUUCGGGAUAAGCUUGGGAAACUGGGUCUAAUACCGGAUAGGAGCCAUCUUGAGUGUGGUGGUUGGAAAGUUUUUUCGGUGUAGGAUGAGCUCGCGGCCUAUCAGCUUGUUGGUGGGGUAAUGGCCUACCAAGGCGGCGACGGGUAGCCGGCCUGAGAGGGUGUACGGCCACAUUGGGACUGAGAUACGGCCCAGACUCCUACGGGAGGCAGCAGUGGGGAAUAUUGCACAAUGGGCGCAAGCCUGAUGCAGCGACGCCGCGUGGGGGAUGAAGGCCUUCGGGUUGUAAACUCCUUUCGCUAGGGACGAAGCUUUGUUGUGACGGUACCUAGAUAAGAAGCACCGGCUAACUACGUG